rnacentral:misc_RNA from 1 species
GAUGAAGAACGUAGCGAAAUGCGAUACGUAAUGUGAAUUGCAGAAUUCAGUGAAUCAUCGAGUCUUUGAACGCACAUUGCGCCCCCUGGUAUUCCGGGGGGCAUGCCUGUCCGAGCGUCAUUGCUGCCCCCAAGCACGGCUUGUGUGUUGGGCCUCCGUCCUCCUCCCGGGGGACGGGCCCGAAAGGCAGCGGCGGCACCGCGUCCGGUCCUCGAGCGUAUGGGGCUUCGUCACCCGCUCUUGUAGGCCCGGCCGGCGCUUGCCGACACAUCAAUCUUUUUUCCAGGUUGACCUCGGAUCAGGUAGGGAUACCCGCUGAACUUAAGCAUAUCAAUAAGCGGAGGA